rnacentral:rRNA from 1 species
GAUGAACGCUGGCGGCGUGCCUAAUACAUGCAAGUCGAGCGAACAGACGAGGAGCUUGCUCCUCUGACGUUAGCGGCGGACGGGUGAGUAACACGUGGAUAACCUACCUAUAAGACUGGGAUAACUUCGGGAAACCGGAGCUAAUACCGGAUAAUAUAUUGAACCGCAUGGUUCAAUAGUGAAAGACGGUUUUGCUUUCACUUAUAGAUGGAUCCGCGCCGCAUUAGCUAGUUGGUAAGGUAACGGCUUACCAAGGCAACGAUGCGUAUCCGACCUGAGAGGGUGGUCGGCCACACUGGAACUGAGACGCGGUCCAGACUCCUACGAGAGGCAGCAGAAGGGAAUCACCCACAAUAGGAGAAAGACUAACGGAGCAACGCCGAGUGAGUGAAGAAGGUCUUCGGAUAGUAAAACUCUGUUAUUAGGGAAGAACAAAUGUGUAAGUAACUAUGCACGUCUUGAAGGUACCUAAUCAGAAAGCCACGGCUAGCUACGUG